rnacentral:rRNA from 1 species
AGAUUGAACGCUGGCGGCAGGCCUAACACAUGCAAGUCGAGCGGUAGAGAGGUGCUUGCACCUCUUGAGAGCGGCGGACGGGUGAGUAAUGCCUAGGAAUCUGCCUAGUGGUGGGGGAUAACGUUCGGAAACGGACGCUAAUACCGCAUACGUCCUACGGGAGAAAGCGGGGACCUUCGGGCCUCGCGCCAUUAGAUGAGCCUAGGUCGGAUUAGCUAGUUGGUGAGGUAAUGGCUCACCGAAGGCGACGAUCCGUAACUGGUCUGAGAGGAUGAUCAGUCACACUGGAACUGAGACACGGUCCAGACUACCGUACGGGAGGCAGCGAGGUAGGGGAAUAGUUGGAACAAGUGGGACGAAAGCC